rnacentral:rRNA from 1 species
UGGAUCCAGACUUUGAUUAUGGCUCAGGAUGAACGCUAGCUACAGGCUUAACACAUGCAAGUCGAGGGGAAACGAUAGAGAAAGCUUGCUUUUUCUAGGCGUCGACCGGCGCACGGGUGAGUAACGCGUAUCCAACCUGCCCACCACUUGGGGAUAACCUUGCGAAAGUAAGACUAAUACCCAAUGAUAUCUCUAGAAGACAUCUGAAAGGGAUUAAAGAUUUAUCGGUGAUGGAUGGGGAUGCGUCUGAUUAGCUUGUUGGCGGGGUAACGGCCCACCAAGGCGACGAUCAGUAGGGGUUCUGAGAGGAAGGUCCCCCACAUUGGAACUGAGACACGGUCCAAACUCCUACGGGAGGCAGCAGUGAGGAAUAUUGGUCAAUGGGCGAGAGCCUGAACCAGCCAAGUAGCGUGCAGGAAGACGGCCCUAUGGGUUGUAAACUGCUUUUAUAAGGGAAUAAAGUGAGCCUCGUGAGGCUUUUUGCAUGUACCUUAUGAAUAAGGACCGGCUAAUUCCGUGCCAGCAGCCGCGGUAAUACGGAAGGUCCGGGCGUUAUCCGGAUUUAUUGGGUUUAAAGGGAGCGUAGGCCGGAGAUUAAGCGUGUUGUGAAAUGUAGACGCUCAACGUCUGCACUGCAGCGCGAACUGGUUUCCUUGAGUACGCACAAAGUGGGCGGAAUUCGUGGUGUAGCGGUGAAAUGCUUAGAUAUCACGAAGAACUCCGAUUGCGAAGGCAGCUCACUGGAGCGCAACUGACGCUGAAGCUCGAAAGUGCGGGUAUCGAACAGGAUUAGAUACCCUGGUAGUCCGCACGGUAAACGAUGGAUGCCCGCUGUUGGUCUGAAUAGGUCAGCGGCCAAGCGAAAGCAUUAAGCAUCCCACCUGGGGAGUACGCCGGCAACGGUGCAACUCAAAUGAAUUGACGGA